AGUCGACGAAACUUCUUUAUCACCGAGUGCUUGCACUCACCGAUAAAGAGUUGAGUGGCGAACGGGUGAGUAACACGUGGGCAACCUGCCCAAAAGAGGGGGAUAACACUUGGAAACAGGUGCUAAUACCGCAUAACCAUAGUUACCGCAUGGUAACUAUGUAAAAGGUGGCUAUGCUACCGCUUUUGGAUGGGCCCGCGGCGCAUUAGCUAGUUGGUGGGGUAAAGGCUUACCAAGGCAAUGAUGCGUAGCCGAACUGAGAGGUUGAUCGGCCACAUUGGGACUGAGACACGGCCCAAACUCCUACGGGAGGCAGUAGUAGGGAAUCUUCCACAAUGGGCGAAAGCCUGAUGGAGCAACGCCGCGUGGGUGAAGAAGGUCUUCGGAUCGUAAAACCCUGUUGUUAGGGAAGAAAGUGCGUGAGAGUAACUGUUCACGUUUCGACGGUAUCUAACCAGAAAGCCACGGCUAACUACGUGCCAGCAGCCGCGGUAAUACGUAGGUGGCAAGCGUUAUCCGGAUUUAUUGGGCGUAAAGGGAACGCAGGCGGUCUUUUAAGUCUGAUGUGAAAGCCUUCGGCUUAACCGGAGUAGUGCAUUGGAAACUGGGAGACUUGAGUGCAGAAGAGGAGAGUGGAACUCCAUGUGUAGCGGUGAAAUGCGUAGAUAUAUGGAAGAACACCAGUGGCGAAAGCGGCUCUCUGGUCUGUAACUGACGCUGAGGUUCGAAAGCGUGGGUAGCAAACA
rnacentral:rRNA from 1 species